UAUGAUGUGUGAUUCUUUUAAUAAAAAAAAAAAAAGCAGUAAUCAAAGGAAAAUUGCUGUGGUAUAAGAUAAAUAAAACACUUGGUCCUUGGUUAUUUUCCUAUAACAGAACAACACAGUGUUUUAUUUCUUACAUGGUUACUUGAGGUUAUGGGUUUAGACCUUCGCCAUCACACAUGGAGAACCAGACGCGAGUGAAGUCUCCAGAAGGUUCUCUAAGAUGGAGGAAAAAAGGAAGCAGACGAUGUACCUGAUGCAGUAUUGAAGCUGAAGUCAACGCUGGAUUUGAGAAAAGAUUAUUCAUUAAAGAUUCGGCCGUACCUACUUAAUUUGAACCAUCUUGCGCCUCUGGAUCACAACCUAGAGAACAUGAGAACCCAGAGGAAACCCCAUGUGAACACAGACAGGAACCUGAGCUCAGGUUCGAACCCGGG
ensembl:lncRNA